GGGCUUACGCUUGCGUAUGUCUGUUAUAUCUUGGUAGACGAGUAGUCGCGGCUGGGACUGAGGUGCCUACACCGUG